rnacentral:rRNA from 1 species
AUUGAACGCUGGCGGCAGGCUUAACACAUGCAAGUCGAGCGGAGAGAGGUAGCUUGCUACUGAUCUUAGCGGCGGACGGGUGAGUAAUGCUUAGGAAUCUGCCUAUUAGUGGGGGACAACAUUUCGAAAGGGAUGCUAAUACCGCAUACGCCCUAAGGGGGAAAGCAGGGGAUCUUCGGACCUUGCGCUAAUAGAUGAGCCUAAGUCGGAUUAGCUAGUUGGUGGGGUAAAGGCCUACCAAGGCGACGAUCUGUAGCGGGUCUGAGAGGAUGAUCCGCCACACUGGGACUGAGACACGGCCCAGACUCCUACGGGAGGCAGCAGUGGGGAAUAUUGGACAAUGGGGGGAACCCUGAUCCAGCCAUGCCGCGUGUGUGAAGAAGGCCUUUUGGUUGUAAAGCACUUUAAGCGAGGAGGAGGCUACCGAGAUUAAUACUCUUGGAUAGUGGACGUUACUCGCAGAAUAAGCACCGGCUAACUCUGUGCCAGCCGCCGCCGUAACAC